GGAAUUUUGGGCAAUGGGCGAAAGCCUGACCCAGCAACGCCGCGUGAAGGAUGAAGUAUUUCGGUAUGUAAACUUCGAAAGAAUGGGAAGAAUAAAUGACGGUACCAUUUAUAAGCUCCGGCUAACUACGUGCCAGCAGCCGCGGUAAUACGUAGGGAGCAAGCGUUGUUCGGAUUUACUGGGCGUAAAGGGCGCGUAGGCGGCGUGUUAAGCCAGCUGUGAAAUCUCCAAGCUUAACUUGGAACGGCCAGCUGAUACUGAUGUGCUAGAGUGCAGAAAGGGCAAUCGGAAUUCUUGGUGUAGCGGUGAAAUGCGUAGAUAUCGGAAGGAACACCAGUGGCGAAGGCGACUUCCUGGGCCAAUACUGACGCUGAGGUGCGAAAGCGUGGGGAGCAAAC
rnacentral:rRNA from 1 species